ACACAAACUCUGGAAAAGAUGAAAUGAGGUCGAGAGGGACAUUAGGUGGCAUCUGGAGGAGUAGGACAUGAUGGGGAAAGAGGAUGUGUGGAGGAGGAGGGCUUUGGGGGUGUUGUAACCAGGAAGGGGAGGAGGGGGUGGGAUAUUAUGAUGCAGCUCACAUUGAACACUCUCUUUCCUGUUGUUUCCACACCAGCUAUUACGUAUAUUGUCACCGUCUUCACUGGGGAUGUCCGGGGGGCUGGUACCAAAUCCAAAAUCUACUUGAUCAUGUAUGGGGCCAGAGGGAAUAAGAACAGUGGGAAAAUCUUCCUGGAGAGCGGCGUGUUUGACCGAGGCCGCACGGACAUCUUCCACAUCGAGCUGGCUGUCCUCCUUAGCCCCCUGAGUCGGGUCUCCAUCGGGCAUGGCAAUGUGGGUGUCAACAGAGGCUGGUUCUGUGAGAAGGUGGUGAUUCUGUGCCCCUUCACUGGUAUCCAGCAGACCUUCCCUUGUAGCAACUGGCUGGAUGAGAAGAAAGCGGAUGGGUUGAUUGAGAGGCAGCUCUAUGAGAUGGUGUCUCUCAGGAAGAAACGGCUGAAAAAAUUCCCUUGGUCCCUGUGGGUCUGGACAACCGACCUAAAGAAAGCUGGUACCAACUCUCCCAUCUUCAUCCAGAUUUAUGGGCAGAAGGGGCGGACAGAUGAGAUUCUCCUGAAUCCCAACAACAAGUGGUUCAAACCCGGCAUAAUCGAGAAGUUUAGGAUUGAGCUCCCGGAUCUCGGCAGGUUUUAUAAGAUUCGAGUAUGGCAUGAUAAAAGGAGUUCUGGUUCUGGAUGGCAUUUAGAAAGGAUGACCCUGAUGAACACUCUGAACAAAGACAAGUACAACUUCAAUUGCAACCGCUGGCUGGAUGCCAAUGAGGAUGACAAUGAGAUAGUGAGGGAAAUGACUGCAGAAGGCCCAACAGUGCACAGGAUCAUGGGCAUGGCCCGGUACCGUGUGACUGUGUGCACAGGUGAACUUGAAGGUGCUGGGACCGAUGCCAACGUCUAUCUCUGCCUUUUUGGUGAUGUGGGGGACACGGGGGAACGGCUGCUCUACAACUGCAGGAAUAACACAGACCUGUUUGAAAAGGGCAAUGCUGACGAGUUCACUAUCGAGUCUGUCACCAUGCGGAAUGUGAGGCGGGUGAGGAUCAGACACGAUGGCAAAGGCUCCGGCAGCGGCUGGUACCUGGACAGAGUGCUGGUGAGAGAGGAGGGGCAGCCUGAGAGCGACAACGUGGAGUUCCCAUGUCUCAGGUGGUUGGACAAGGAUAAGGAUGAUGGGCAGCUGGUCCGAGAGUUGCUACCCAGUGACAGCAGCGCGACACUGAAGAACUUUCGCUAUCACAUCAGCUUGAAGACUGGGGAUGUCUCUGGGGCCAGCACGGAUUCUAGAGUCUACAUCAAGCUCUAUGGGGAUAAAUCUGACACCAUCAAGCAAGUUCUUCUUGUCUCUGACAACAACCUCAAAGACUACUUUGAACGUGGCCGGGUGGAUGAGUUCACCCUCGAGACCCUGAACAUUGGAAAUAUCAACCGGCUGGUGAUUGGGCAUGACAGCAGCGGCAUGCAUGCCAGCUGGUUCCUGGGCAGCGUUCAGAUCCGUGUGCCCCGUCAAGGCAAGCAGUACACCUUUCCCGCCAACCGCUGGCUGGACAAGAACCAGGCUGACGGGCGCCUGGAGGUGGAGCUGUAUCCCAGCGAGGUGGUGGAGAUCCAGAAAUUGGUCCACUAUGAGGUUGAGAUUUGGACAGGAGAUGUGGGUGGCGCAGGCACCAGUGCCCGAGUCUACAUGCAGAUCUAUGGAGAGAAAGGCAAGACAGAAGUGCUCUUCCUCUCCAGCCGCUCAAAAGUUUUUGAACGGGCCUCCAAGGACACAUUCCAGCUUGAGGCGGCCGACGUGGGCGAGGUCUAUAAGCUCCGGCUCGGGCACACGGGCGAGGGCUUUGGGCCCAGCUGGUUCGUGGACACCGUGUGGCUGCGGCACCUGGUGGUGCGGGAGGUGGACCUCACGCCGGAGGAGGAGGCCCGGAAGAAGAAGGAGAAGGACAAGCUGCGGCAGCUGCUCAAGAAGGAGCGGCUGAAGGCCAAGCUGCAGAGGAAGAAGAAGAAGAGGAAGGGCAGCGACGAAGAGGACGAGGGGGAGGAAGAGGAGUCGUCCUCGUCAGAGGAGGAGGAGGAGACGGAAGAAGAGGAGGAAGAGGAGGAGUUUGGGCCGGGGAUGCAGGAGGUGAUUGAGCAGCACAAGUUCGAAGCCCACCGCUGGCUGGCCCGGGGCAAGGAGGACAACGAACUUGUCGUGGAGUUGGUGCCAGCUGGCAAGCCGGGUGCUGAGCGAAACACCUAUGAGGUUCAGGUGGUCACGGGGAAUGUGCCCAAGGCCGGCACUGAUGCUAACGUCUACCUAACCAUCUACGGCGAGGAGUAUGGAGACACGGGCGAACGACCCCUGAAGAAGUCAGACAAGUCCAACAAAUUUGAGCAGGGGCAGACAGACACCUUCACCAUCUAUGCCAUUGACCUGGGGGCCCUGACCAAGAUUCGGAUUCGCCACGACAACACAGGCAACAGAGCAGGCUGGUUCCUGGACAGAGUAGACAUUACUGACAUGAACAACGAGAUCACGUACUACUUUCCAUGCCAACGUUGGCUGGCAGUGGAGGAAGAUGAUGGCCAGCUGUCCAGGGAGCUGUUGCCAGUGGAUGAGUCCUAUGUGCUGCCACAGAGCGAGGAGGGUGGGGGAGGCGGUGACAACAACCCCCUCGACAACCUGGCCCUGGAGCAGAAAGAUAAAUCUACCACAUUCUCAGUGACCAUAAAGACUGGGGUUAAGAAGAAUGCGGGCACAGAUGCUAAUGUCUUCAUCACACUCUUUGGCACACAAGAUGACACUGGAAUGACCCUCCUGAAGUCCUCCAAGACAAACAGCGAUAAGUUUGAGAGGGACAGCAUUGAAAUCUUCACGGUGGAGACGCUGGAUCUGGGAGACCUGUGGAAAGUCCGGCUUGGCCAUGACAACACAGGCAAGGCCCCAGGCUGGUUUGUAGACUGGGUAGAGGUGGAUGCCCCAUCUCUUGGGAAGUGCAUGACGUUUCCCUGUGGCCGCUGGCUGGCCAAAAAUGAAGACGACGGAUCCAUCAUCAGAGACCUCUUCCAUGCAGAGCUUCAGACGAGGCUGUACACACCAUUUGUUCCUUACGAGAUCACCCUCUACACCAGUGAUGUCUUUGCUGCUGGGACAGAUGCCAACAUCUUCAUCAUCAUCUAUGGCUGCGAUGCCGUGUGCACCCAGCAGAAGUAUCUGUGUACCAACAAGAGGGAACAGAAGCAGUUCUUUGAGAGGAAGUCUGCCUCCCGCUUCAUUGUAGAGUUAGAAGAUGUGGGAGAAAUCAUUGAAAAAAUUCGGAUUGGCCAUAAUAACACGGGCAUGAAUCCUGGGUGGCACUGCUCUCACGUGGACAUCCGCAGGCUCCUCCCGGAUAAAGACGGUGCAGAGACCUUGACUUUCCCAUGCGAUCGGUGGCUUGCCACCUCUGAGGAUGACAAAAAGACCAUUCGAGAACUGGUUCCAUAUGACAUCUUCACUGAGAAAUACAUGAAAGAUGGGUCCUUACGGCAAGUCUACAAGGAAGUAGAAGAGCCUCUGGACAUUGUGCUGUACUCGGUGCAGAUCUUCACAGGGAACAUUCCUGGGGCAGGGACGGAUGCCAAGGUGUACAUCACCAUCUAUGGAGACCUCGGGGACACUGGGGAGCGAUACCUUGGCAAGUCAGAGAACCGGACCAACAAGUUCGAGAGAGGAACGGCUGACACCUUCAUCAUCGAGGCCGCUGACCUAGGCGUCAUCUACAAGAUCAAGCUCCGCCAUGACAACUCCAAGUGGUGCGCAGACUGGUACGUGGAGAAGGUGGAGAUCUGGAAUGACACCAAUGAGGACGAGUUCCUUUUCCUAUGCGGGCGCUGGCUAUCCCUGAAGAAGGAGGAUGGGCGACUCGAGAGGCUCUUUUACGAGAAGGAGUACACUGGGGACCGCAGCAGCAACUGCAGCAGCCCUGCUGACUUCUGGGAGAUCGCCCUGAGCUCCAAGAUGGCCGAUGUCGACAUCAGCACAGUGACCGGGCCCAUGGCUGACUACGUUCAGGAGGGCCCAAUUAUUCCCUACUAUGUGUCAGUCACCACUGGGAAGCAUAAGGACGCGGCCACUGACAGCCGAGCCUUCAUCUUUCUCAUCGGGGAGGAUGAUGAACGUAGUAAGCGCAUCUGGUUGGACUACCCCCGAGGGAAGAGGGGCUUCAGCCGUGGCUCUGUGGAGGAGUUCUACGUCGCAGGCUUGGAUGUGGGCAUCAUCAAGAAAAUAGAGGUUCUCUAUGAAAUGACGGUGUGGACAGGGGAUGUGGUUGGCGGGGGCACUGACUCCAACAUCUUCAUGACCCUCUACGGCAUCAACGGGAGCACAGAGGAGAUGCAGCUGGACAAAAAGAAAGCCAGGUUUGAGCGGGAGCAGAACGACACCUUCAUCAUGGAGAUCCUAGACAUUGCUCCAUUCACCAAGAUGCGGAUCCGGAUUGAUGGCCUGGGCAGUCGGCCGGAGUGGUUCCUGGAGAGGGUAAAAUGUCUAGACCCUCACUCUUCCUUCCAGCCACCACCCACCCCUUCCCCUGGUUCCUCUGGCUUGUCAAUGGACCUUGUUAAAGCACAAAUGUCACUGUAGAGGAUCAUUACAUGAACCCAGCCCAU
rnacentral:sRNA from 1 species